GGGGAUAUAGCUCAGUGGUAGAGUGCAUGCUUAGCAUGUGUGAGGCCCUGGGAUCAAUCUCUACCCCCC
rnacentral:tRNA from 1 species